AAAUUUUUUACGACACCAGCUUUAAAGACGAUUCAAAACCGUCGUUAAAAAUGCUGUCAAGUAUUACAAGUAAGGUUUCUCACUUUCUCAUUCCCCCGUUUGAGGCUGAACUUUGCCAGUGGCCCAGGGAGUCUUGUAAUAUGUUAAAUUGCAUAGUGUGAUUAACAACAUGCCUUUUUCUUUAUAAAAAAAACAUGCUAAUGUAUUUUUUUAUAAUUUAAACAUAUUUUCACUGAUCCUUAUCCUGUUAUAUUACAAAGAUGCCUGUAAACUUGAUAUAAGCAUUUCUUUUUAGUUUUUAGACCAGUACUGUUGUACUUAAAUAAUCAUCCACAUUUAUUUGUGUGAUAGAUUUUUCCUUUUACCAAAGAGGUAGUUUUCUAUUAUAAAAGAAUCACUUUUUAGUGUUGUGCCAAACAUAUUUCUUGACAUUAAUCUAAUCAGGGACUUUACCAGAGCCCAUGUAAAUAGGGUGAAACAGGUUUGUUAAUAUGGCUAUCUAGCAGUUAUGGUGAAGUUGAAUUAGUGGUGAUGAUGUAUAUUUGGCUGGUUCUAGAAAAAAGUGGCACCUUUGCUCUCUUAGAUACAAGCAUUUAGAUUACUCAAAUUUGAUAUUUCUUUCUGUUUCUUCCAUUACACUAUAUGAUUUUCAAACUUUAUAGUUUCUAAUGACGAGUUGUUCCACAAGGGUUGCAUUAAUUUUAUUAGGUGUUUAUAUAAUUUCCCUCUUCUAAUUGAUUUGUUCACGUCAGUGUUCUUGGAGUUUAGUUUUGCUACUACAAUUUAGUCCCCCAUUCCAAUAUGAUUUGGAUGCAAGUGGUAAAACUAUGUCACAAGCUGUUGUUUAUUUUCCAAUUGAAAAAAGUUGGGGAUUUAAUCCGUUUCCCUAUUUGAUUUGCUUUGUAUUCAUUUAAUAGAGUUUCUAUCCAUGGCUUACAGGCAACAGCUAAUCGUUCAAAGGGUAAUCGAACAGAUAUCUCCAAAGCUGAACUUAUUCAGAAGAGUUCUUAUUGCAGGGUUUCAGAUCGUGAUAUGGAUUUUCUGGAACUGUCGGCCUAUGGCAAUGUCCGGCAUGGACCAGAUUCUAGGGGGUGUAGAAUCCAAUGAACAUUUAUCUCCAUAUUAGUCUAUUGUGUGGUUGAUUCCUAUAUGGGGUUAAAUGAUGACCUUGUUGUGGCUAUUCAUCCUUCACAUCUUUGGGGCUUCAUUCAUUUGUGGUACAGACAAGUUAAAACUGCAAAAAAAAAAAAAAAAAAGUGAUGACAUUGUCAUUCCUGAAGUUGGUGUAUUCAAGUGUAGCUACAUUACUCUCUCCUUCCCUAAAACUCUACGGUUUUCUCUUGAGCAGAAUGAUUUGGAAGGUAAGUUCUGGCGCUCACUUGUUUAUGUUAUUCAUUAUUUUUCAUAUCCUUUACAGUUUACCCCACAAUAUCAUAGCAACUGGAAUGGAUCCUUCAAAUUUUAAUAUGUUAAGGGCAUAUUAAAAUCUUGCAACUUUUUUUCUUUUGAUAGACAUUAAACAGGUUGGGAGCCUUUUUUUUUUUAAGAGUCGGGGAGACUAUUCACUGUUGGGAGAGAAGAUUUGAACACGACUUAUAUAUCAUGUGCAUAAAAGUUUGCAUUCUUUUUGUUGUAGAAGCUUUUUUGUUCUAACAAUAGCUACCAAUGUGUUAAAAGGAGUAUGUUAGAUAGUGUAUUGUUAAUUCUAUCUGUAGUAAUUAGUUUGAUGAACAAAUUUUAAGGAUUUUGUUAGCGAUUA